UACGUAGGUUGCGAGCGUUGUCCGGAUUUACUGGGCGUAAGCGCACGCAGGCGGUUCCGAAAGUCGAAUGUGAAAGCUCCUGGCCCAACUGGGAGAGGCCGUUCGAAACUUCGGGACUUGAAGGCGGGAGAGGCAGAUGGAAUUUCCGGUGUAGCGGUAAAAUGCGUAGAUACCGGAAGGAACACCAGUGGCGAAAGCGAAUCU
rnacentral:rRNA from 1 species